UACGUAGGGUGCGAGCGUUAAUCGGAAUUACUGGGCGUAAAGCGUGCGCAGGCGGUUUGUUAAGUCUGAUGUGAAAGCCCCGGGCUCAACCUGGGAAUGGCAUUGGAAACUGGCUUGCUAGAGUGUGGCAGAGGGGGGUGGAAUUCCGGCGUGUAGCAGUGAAAUGCGUAGAGAUGCGGAGGAACACCGAUGGCGAAGGCCAGCCCCUGGGCCGACACUGACGCUCAGGCACGAAAGCGUGGGGAGCAAACAGG
rnacentral:rRNA from 1 species